GACGAACGCUGGCGGCGUGCUUAACACAUGCAAGUCGAACGGAAAGGCCCUGCUUUUGUGGGGUGCUCGAGUGGCGAACGGGUGAGUAACACGUGAGUAACCUGCCCUUGACUUUGGGAUAACUUCAGGAAACUGGGGCUAAUACCGGAUAGGAGCUCCUGCUGCAUGGUGGGGGUUGGAAAGUUUCGGCGGUUGGGGAUGGACUCGCGGCUUAUCAGCUUGUUGGUGGGGUAGUGGCUUACCAAGGCUUUGACGGGUAGCCGGCCUGAGAGGGUGACCGGCCACAUUGGGACUGAGAUACGGCCCAGACUCCUACGGUAGGCAGAAGUGGGGAAUAUUGCACAAUGGGCGGAAGCCUGAUGCAGCAACGCCGCGUGCGGGAUGACGGCCUUCGGGUGGUAAACCGCUUUCGCCUGUGACGAAGCGUGAGUGACGGUAAUGGGUAAAGAAGCACCGGCUAACUACGUG
rnacentral:rRNA from 1 species